UAAGUUCAUGAUAUUACAUGCAUUUAACCCAAAUAAAUUCACAACCUAAACAAUAAUUUAUAGUUCCUAACAACAUAUAUCACAACAAACUCCAUCACUUACUCUUUCCAAAAUAAUAGUACAAAAUAAUAUGCAAAUAGUUCAAAUAAAAAACUUCCAAUUGUGACAACUUCUUGCACUGAAUCUACAAAGUAAUUAUACCGAACCUAUAAUUAACUUCUUGCACUGAAUCUACAAACAUUUGAUGAAGCAGUCUGCUAUCUCUUCAUGAUACUCCAUCAAUCCCUUAAUUAAAUCACCCCAUUUAAUCUCCUCAACUAAAUAUUAAAUGUCUGUAAUUAAUGUAGAGAAGAUGGUUUUAGAAGAUGAUGACCUGAUUUAGCAUCCAUUUGAAACCAACAACAACUGUGCAUUUUAACUCCAAGUGCAAACUGCUACCCAGUUCCUGAAGACUUAAUCAAGCGGAGGCAAAUAACUAGAGAUGUAUGUUGCCAAAUAGAUUCGAAUCACCAAAAGUAAAAGAAUAAAAUUAGAAAACUUGAAUUAAAAUCAAGAACAAGAAAUAUCUAAAUGAAUUGGGUGUGAGAAUUGCAUCACUUGCGUCUGCUUCUUCUUUUUCUUACCUGAGAAAAGGGAGGUCGGACUUCGGAGAGGGAGGGCGUGAGGGGGCUCACGAGCAGAUUCUGGGAGAAGUCGAGGGUGGUGGGUGGCGAGAUUCCGGCAGACGGGCGCGGCGGCACUGGAGAGAGGCGAGAGAUCAGACGAGAGGGUGCAGAGGGAGAUGGGCGCGGCAGCGCUGGAGAUUCCACCGGCGCCGAUGGCCGGUGGGACGGGGCACCGGUCGCCGGAGGCAGACGGAAGGGCGUGAAGGGCGUGGAGUUGAGAGACAGGCUGAAUCUGAAUUCAAAAUUCUGAUUCUGAUGCCCUAGGCUAAAUGUAUUAAUUAAUUUGAUAAA
rnacentral:lncRNA from 1 species